rnacentral:rRNA from 1 species
AACGAACGCUGGCGGCACGCCUAACACAUGCAAGUCGGACGAUAAGCUAUCUUCGGAUAGUGGACAGUGGCGGACGGGUGAGUAUCGCGUGGGAACCUGCCUAUUGGUACGGAACAACAGUUAGAAAUGACUGCUAAUACCGUAUAUUCCCUUUGGGGGAAAGAUUUAUCGCCAAUAGAUGGGCCCGCGUUAGAUUAGCUAGAUGGUGAGGUAAUGGCUCACCAUGGCGACGAUCUAUAGCUGGUUUGAGAGGAUGAUCAGCCACACUGGGACGUGAGACACGGCCCAGACUCCUACGGGAGGCAGCAGUGGGGAAUAUUGGACAAUGGGCGAAAGCCUGAUCUAGCCAUGCCGCGUGAGUGAAGAAGGCCUUAGGGUCGUAAAACUCUUUCGCCAGAGAUGAUAAUGACAGUAUCGUGGUAAAGAAACCCCGCUAACU